rnacentral:rRNA from 1 species
UUGAACGCUGGCGGCAGGCCUAACACAUGCAAGUCGAGCGGAUGAAGGGAGCUUGCUCCUGGAUUCAGCGGCGGACGGGUGAGUAAUGCCUAGGAAUCUGCCUGGUAGUGGGGGAUAACGCCCGGAAACGGGCGCUAAUACCGCAUACGUCCUGAGGGAGAAAGUGGGGGAUCUUCGGACCUCACGCUAUCAGAUGAGCCUAGGUCGGAUUAGCUAGUUGGUGGGGUAAAGGCCUACCAAGGCGACGAUCCGUAACUGGUCUGAGAGGAUGAUCAGUCACACUGGAACUGAGACACGGUCCAGACUCCUACGGGAGGCAGCAGUGGGGAAUAUUGGACAAUGGGCGAAAGCCUGAUCCAGCCAUGCCGCGUGUGUGAAGAAGGUCUUCGGAUUGUAAAGCACUUUAAGUUGGGAGGAAGGGCAGUAAGUUAAUACCUUGCUGUUUUGACGUUACCAACAGAAUAAGCACCGGCUAACUUCGUG